rnacentral:rRNA from 1 species
AGAGACAGCAGCCGCCGCGGUAAUACGAAGGGGGCUAGCGUUGUUCGGAAUUACUGGGCGUAAAGCGCACGUAGGCGGAUAUUUAAGUCAGGGGUGAAAUCCCAGAGCUCAACUCUGGAACUGCCUUUGAUACUGGGUAUCUUGAGUAUGGAAGAGGUGAGUGGAAUUCCGAGUGUAGAGGUGAAAUUCGUAGAUAUUCGGAGGAACACCAGUGGCGAAGGCGGCUCACUGGUCCAUUACUGACGCUGAGGUGCGAAAGCGUGGGGAGCAAACAGGAUUAGAUACCCGUGUGUCCCUGUCUCUUAUACC